rnacentral:lncRNA from 1 species
GAAAGAUGUGUGUGUCCAACGCGCCAGUCCCCGGAUAAUUUUAACCCAAGGGCGGGCCAGCCUGCCUGGUUUCUUCUCCGCCCGCCCCAGGUGGGCCCGGCUGAAUGAGGGGCUUAUGCGCGCGGGGCGGGGCGGCCGGAUGCCCAGCCUGCGCACUGCGCACCGCCCACCGUCUGCCACCGCCUGCCUGGCUGCCACCGCCAGCACUGCUCAGUGACCGCCAGCCAUGGCCCGAGCACCCAGCCUGGCCCUGCUCCUGUUGGGGCAGCUCCUGGCAGCCACCGCAGCACAGAAAGUGGGGCUUCCCGGCCCCCCAGGCCCCCCAGGCCCACCUGGGAAGCCAGGCAAGGAUGGCAUUGAUGUGAGUUGGGAUGGGGUUCAAGGGGUUCUAGAACUGGCGGUGCUGGGCUGGUGGGGACAGCACCAUACCCAACGGACAGCGAGUGGGGAAACCAGGGUGGGCAG